AAAACCACGAGUUUGAUCUUGGCUCAGAUUGAACGCUGGCGGUAGGCCUAACACAUGCAAGUCGAACGCGAAAGUCCUUCGGGAUGAGUAGAGUGGCGGACGGGUGAGUAACGCGUAGGAAUCUAUCCUGUAGUGGGGGAUAACGUUUCGAAAGGAACGCUAAUACCGCAUACGCCCCACGGGGGAAAGCGGGGGAUCUUCGGACCUCGUGCUAUAGGAGGAGCCUGCGUCGGAUUAGCUAGUUGGUGAGGUAAAGGCUCACCAAGGCGACGAUCCGUAGCUGGUCUGAGAGGAUGAUCAGCCACACCGGAACUGAGACACGGUCCGGACUCCUACGGGAGGCAGCAGUGGGGAAUAUUGCGCAAUGGGCGAAAGCCUGACGCAGCCAUACCGCGUGUGUGAAGAAGGCCUUCGGUUGUAA
rnacentral:rRNA from 1 species